ACUGAGAUACGGCCCAGACUCCUACGGGAGGCAGCAGUGGGGAAUAUUGCACAAUGGGCGCAAGCCUGAUGCAGCGACGCCGCGUGGGGGAUGACGGCCUUCGGGUUGUAAACCUCUUUCACCAUCGACGAAGGUCCGGGUUCUCUCGGAUUGACGGUAGGUGGAGAAGAAGCACCGGCCAACUACGUGCCAGCAGCCGCGGUAAUACGUAGGGUGCGAGCGUUGUCCGGAAUUACUGGGCGUAAAGAGCUCGUAGGUGGUUUGUCGCGUUGUUCGUGAAAUCUCACGGCUUAACUGUGAGCGUGCGGGCGAUACGGGCAGACUAGAGUACUGCAGGGGAGACUGGAAUUCCUGGUGUAGCGGUGGAAUGCGCAGAUAUCAGGAGGAACACCGGUGGCGAAGGCGGGUCUCUGGGCAGUAACUGACGCUGAGGAGCGAAAGCGUGGGGAGCGAACAGGAUUAGAUACCCUGGUAGUCCACGCCGUAAACGGUGGGUACUAGGUGUGGGUUUCCUUCCUUGGGAUCCGUGCCGUAGCUAACGCAUUAAGUACCCCGCCUGGGGAGUACGGCCGCAAGGCUAAAACUCAAAGGAAUUGACGGGGGCCCGCACAAGCGGCGGAGC
rnacentral:rRNA from 1 species